rnacentral:rRNA from 1 species
UACGUAGGGUGCAAGCGUUAAUCGGAAUUACUGGGCGUAAAGCGUGCGCAGGCGGUGAUGUAAGACAGAUGUGAAAUCCCCGGGCUCAACCUGGGAACUGCAUUUGUGACUGCAUUGCUGGAGUGCGGCAGAGGGGGAUGGAAUUCCGCGUGUAGCAGUGAAAUGCGUAGAUAUGCGGAGGAACACCGGUGGCGAAGGCGGGUCUCUGGGCAGUUACUGACGCUCAUGCACGAAAGCGUGGGGAGCAAACAGG